GACGAACGCUGGCGGCGUGCCUAAUACAUGCCAGUAGAACGCACAGUUUAUACCGUAGCUUGCUACACCAUAGACUGUGAGUUGCGAACGGGUGAGUAACGCGUAGGUAACCUGCCUGGUAGCGGGGGAUAACUAUUGGAAACGAUAGCUAAUACCGCAUAAUAUUAAUUAUUGCAUGGUAAUUAAUUGAAAGGUGCAAUUGCACCACUACCAGAUGGACCUGCGUUGUAUUAGCUAGUAGGUGAGGUAACGGCUCACCUAGGCGACGAUACAUAGCCGACCUGAGAGGGUGAUCGGCCACACUGGGACUGAGACACGGCCCAGACUCCUACGGGAGGCAGCAGUAGGGAAUCUUCGGCAAUGGACGAAAGUCUGACCGAGCAACGCCGCGUGAGUGAAGAAGGGUUUCGGAUCGUAAAGCCCUGUUGUAAGAGAAGAACGGGUGUGAGAGUGGAAAGUUCACACUGUGACGGUAUCUUACCAGAAAGGGACGGCUAACUACGUG
rnacentral:rRNA from 1 species